ACCAGAGACUCCGACACAGCACUGGGAGAACCCGCCAACUCGACCUACACAGAGCAUCCGUGAGGUGUGCAGAGUCUGCGUGUUCACCUAUCUUCCAGGACUCCAGCUUCUGCCGCUCAUCCAGAACUAUGCGGUUUAAGCUUUUAGGAAUACAAAUGUGGAUUGAAGCCUCAGUAGCAGAUAAUCUGUCUAAGGGGAGCCUCAUCAAUCCCCAGAGGAUCCUGUUCUGUGCUUCACCAGGCCACAUUUUAGAACAUCACUUCAGGUGUAUCUGAG